rnacentral:rRNA from 1 species
GCUGGGAGAGAAAAGCGUUACAUUCGAUGACGAAGCAUCGGAUUACGUCGUUUCAAGUAAGACUAACACCAAGGUGGAGACGAAACGAGAGUAAAACUUUUCUAGUGGCGGACGGGUGAGUAACACGUGAAGAACCUGCCUUACAGAGGGGGACAACAGCUGGAAACGGCUGCUAAUACCGCAUAAUACCAUUUUGGGGCAUCCUGAGAUGGUCAAAGGAGCAAUCCGCUGUAAGAUGGCUUCGCGUCCGAUUAGACAGUUGGCGGGGUAACGGCCCACCAAAUCUACGAUCGGUAGCCGGACUGAGAGGUUGAACGGCCACAUUGGGACUGAGACACGGCCCAGACUCCUACGGGAGGCAGCAGUGGGGGAUAUUGCACAAUGGAGGAAACUCUGAUGCAGCGACGCCGCGUGAGGGAAGAAGGUUUUCGGAUUGUAAACCUCUGUCUUCGGUGACGAAAAUGACGGUAGCCGAGGAGGAAGCCACGGCUAACUACGUGCC